GACGAACGCUGGCGGCGUGCUUAACACAUGCAAGUCGAACGAGAGUUAGAUCGAAUGAGUUUUCGGACAAAUGAGAUUUAACGAAAGUGGCGAACGGGUGAGUAACACGUGAGCAACCUGCCUUACACAGGGGGAUAGCCAUUGGAAACGGUGAUUAAUACCCCAUAAGACCACAAUACCGCAUGGUAAAAGGGUAAAAGGGAUACCGGUGUAAGAUGGGCUCGCGCCUGAUUAGCUAGUUGGUGGGGUAAAGGCCUACCAAGGCGACGAUCAGUAGCCGGUCUGAGAGGAUGAACGGCCACAUUGGAACUGAGACACGGUCCAAACUCCUACGGGAGGCAGCAGUGGGGAAUAUUGCACAAUGGGGGAAACCCUGAUGCAGCGACGCCGCGUGAGCGAAGAAGGCUUUCGAGUCGUAAAGCUCUGUCCUAUGAGAAGAUAAUGACGGUAUCAUAGGAGGAAGCCCUGGCUAAAUACGUGCCAGCAGCCGCGGUAAUACGUAUGGGGCGAGCGUUGUCCGGAAUUAUUGGGCGUAAAGGGUACGUAGGCGGUUUUUUAAGUCAGGUGUCAAAGCGUGGAGCUUAACUCCAUUAAGCACUUGAAACUGAAAGACUUGAGUGAAGGAGAGGAAAGUGGAAUUCCUAGUGUAGCGGUGAAAUGCGUAGAUAUUAGGAGGAAUACCGGUGGCGAAGGCGACUUUCUGGACUUUUACUGACGCUCAGGUACGAAAGCGUGGGGAGCAAACAGG
rnacentral:rRNA from 1 species